AAUACAUGCAAGUAGAACGCUGAAGGAGGAGCUUGCUUCUCUGGAUGAGUUGCGAACGGGUGAGUAACGCGUAGGUAACCUGCCUGGUAGCGGGGGAUAACUAUUGGAAACGAUAGCUAAUACCGCAUAACAGUAGAUGUUGCAUGACAUUUGCUUAAAAGGUGCAAUUGCAUCACUACCAGAUGGACCUGCGUUGUAUUAGCUAGUUGGUGGGGUAACGGCUCACCAAGGCGACGAUACAUAGCCGACCUGAGAGGGUGAUCGGCCACACUGGGACUGAGACACGGCCCAGACUCCUACGGGAGGCAGCAGUAGGGAAUCUUCGGCAAUGGACGGAAGUCUGACCGAGCAACGCCGCGUGAGUGAAGAAGGUUUUCGGAUCGUAAAGCUCUGUUGUAAGAGAAGAACGAGUGUGAGAGUGGAAAGUUCACACUGUGACGGUAUCUUACCAGAAAGGGACGGCUAACUACGUGCCAGCAGCCGCGGUAAUACGUAGGUCCCGAGCGUUGUCCGGAUUUAUUGGGCGUAAAGCGAGCGCAGGCGGUUAGAUAAGUCUGAAGUUAAAGGCUGUGGCUUAACCAUAGUACGCUUUGGAAACUGUUUAACU
rnacentral:rRNA from 1 species